CUUAGCAGGGGAGAUGCAGGCAAGGCUGGUGUUGCAGUUGGAAGGCUGUCUUCGUGGCCUGGGACAACUCCUGCUGGAACAGAGCACUGGAGAUGUGUGGAUAUCAGCCAGGCACAUGCUGUAAUUGCCGGAGGAGCGGUGGGAGCUCUCAUGGGUAGGUGAAGCAAACACCAAGGUUCUGCAGCUGUGAGCAGUUGUUUUCCAGUGACACUGAGGCAACCAUUCUGCAUACUGGAUAUAUCAGCAUCACUAAUUUCGAAGAGACUGAAGAUUUUGCCUACGCUUAGCCACAGCUGCCCUUUCAUCCUGAGACGUUCUUUCCCUUUGGUUUGCAGAUGUAGGCAGCUCAGCUGUCUUUCCACCAGCAUUAGGACAGGAGGAAAAUUAAGCUGUGAACUGGAAUUCCAUCAGGCUGUCUACUGUGAAGCCCUGUGGCUUUAGCAAAGGGGCAGCAGUGGUCAGAAAUGACACUCAAAAGAAAAUGACAUGGAAUUCACAGUGGACUUCCUACUCCUGUGAAAGAAAGGGAGAAGAUGCUUUUGCUUCACACUAUCUUCGCAUCUAAGGAGGCAUCUUUCGGCUACAAAAGUGGAACAAGGAGGCGUUGAGGAAGAUGAGUGCUCGUCUUUAAAGGUGUCCUGGUUUCAGGUUGCUGCUGUUCAGCACUUCUGCAACUUAGACACACACAGAAACGGGAACCCUUUGCAGCCAGUAGUGGAACAUGAGUGUGGACCCUUCAGGCUUUGUCUGAUUUCUUCCUGUUUCUCCAACGUGUUGCUAAAUCAUGGCAAUGGAAGAGCUCAUCUCCAGGCUGCCGAACGCAUGCUGCCUUCCAGUGUUUUGCAAACCAAAGCUCCAGAGACGAAGCGAGCAGCAUAGCGAGAGCUCUGUAACUAUUUUCUACGAGCGAAGCCUCCGGAGCUGCAGCCCCUCACGUGUUUCCAGAGCCCCGGCUCCUGUGCUGUGGCUCGUCCAUCACCGCCCUGCUGUUGCACUGCUGUACACCCCCAGCCCACCUGACGCCUCUUCUGCAGCCCAGGAGCUCCUUCCCCACCACACAUCCACCUCCUUCUGGCCUCGGCAGCCCAGGACAAUCCCAGCAUCCCACGUUCUGAAAAAGGAGUAAAACAGUGAGUGGAAAAGUUGUGCCUGCUGGGAAUGGCGUCUGCCUCACGCCAGUGCCACGACUCCUGAGAGGCCAAGUCAUCGGCACGUGGAGCCCUCACUGCAAAUCCCCAUGCCUGUCCAUCUGUGAUGCUGGUCUUAAGACACAUUCAGAUGAUUUUUGACCUCAAGACUAAGCCAUGUUACAUGUGUGAAAGGCCCAGCAUCUCUGCUCUGAUCCGCAGCACCGCUCCUGUGUACUGAGUAAGUAACUGCAGCCUACUGAUGUAAUAGCAUCCUGCAUAUGUGUCAUAUUAAUGGUAUUUUCCUAAUAGUAAUAGCAUUAAAAGACUGUCUACUUUGCUAUUGAUUUACCCUAUUUAGGAUAAUUUGCCCAGAA